UACGUACGAGGCGAGCGUUAUCCGGAAUUACUGGGCGUAAAGCGCGCGCAGGUGGCGCAGUAAGUAGGGCGUGAAAUCUCCCGGCCUAACUGGGAGGGGUCGCCCUAGACUGCUGGGCUUGAGGCUAGCAGAGGUGGGUGGAAUUCCUGGUGUAGUGGUGAAAUGCGUAGAGAUCAGGAGGAACACCGGUGGCGAAGGCGGCCCACUGGGCUAGCACUGACGCUGAGGCGCGAAAGCUCGGGGAGCGAACGGG
rnacentral:rRNA from 1 species